GGCAUUGUGCGAUAGUGGUUAUUCGGCGAGACUUGAAUUUUAAGAUAUCUCGUGCCGUAAGGCUCGUAGGUUCGAACCCUACCAAUGUCG
rfam:Kwoniella mangroviensis CBS 10435 unplaced genomic scaffold supercont2.8, whole genome shotgun sequence.